AUGAAGUUAGAUCGUGUGGUAGAACAUGAAGAUAAUGAAAAGGGAGCGAGAGAUUAUAGAAGGAGCCCACAUAAAUGCAUACGCAUCCGUGCGCCACUGCUUAGGGACGCCGUGCGCGACACCAUGGAGGACGCAGUGUCUGGGCUUGACGCGGGCGUGAUUCUCGACAAUGCCAGGGCUUGGAUCGCGACAUCGAGGAUGGCCAUGGCCGAAGACCAGUCAUCGGACCGUCACAUACACGCAUUCAUGGACACAGUCGACUAUAUUUCAUGCCAGUCAUACUAA
rnacentral:rRNA from 1 species